rnacentral:rRNA from 1 species
ACGUGGGCAACCUGCCUUUAGGUCUGGGAUAAGCCGCCGAAAGGGGGUCUAAUACCGGAUAACACCUUUCUAUCGCAUGGUAGAAAGUUCAAAGACCGCUUGCGGUCGCCUGAAGAUGGGCCCGCGGCCUAUUAGCUAGUUGGUGAGAUAACAGCCCACCAAGGCUGCGAUGGGUAGCCGUCCUGAGAGGGUGAACGGCCACACUGGGACUGAGAUACGGCCCAGACUCCUACGGGAGGCAGCAGUAGGGAAUAUUGCGCAAUGCCCGAAAGGGUGACGCAGCGACGCCGCGUGGGUGAUGAAGCUUCUUGGAGCGUAAAGCCCUUUCAGAAGGGAAGAACCGCAUGGAGGUGAACCUCCGUGCCUGACGGUACCUUCAGAAGAAGCUCCGGCUAACUCCGUGCCAGCAGCCGCGGUAAUACGGAGGGAGCAAGCGUUGUUCGGAAUCACUGGGCGUAAAGGGCGCGUAGGCGGGCCGGUGAGUCAGGUGUGAAAACCCGGGGCUUAACCCCGGGCCUGCACUUGAUACUAUCGGUCUUGAGUACGAGAGAGGAAAGCGGAAUUCCAGGUGUAGCGGUGAAAUGCGUAGAUAUCUGGGAGAACACCGGUGGCGAAGGCGGCUUUCUGGCUCGAUACUGACGCUGAUGCGCGAAGGCUAGGGGAGCAAACAGGAUUAGAUACCCUGGUAGUCCUAGCGGUAAACGAUGGGCACUAGGUGUUGGAGGACUUACCCCUUCAGUGCCGCAGCUAACGCAUUAAGUGCUCCGCCUGGGGAGUACGAUCGCAAGAUUGAAACUCAAAGGAAUUGACGGGGCCCCGCACAAGCAGUGGAGUAUGUGGUUUAAUUCGAUGCAACGCGAAGAACCUUACCUGGGCUUGACAUCAACUGGAAAGCCAUAGAGAUAUGGCCCCCUCUUCGGAGGUCGGUUGACAGGUGCUGCAUGGCUGUCGUCAGCUCGUGCCGUGAGGUGUUGGGUUAAGUCCCGCAACGAGCGCAACCCCUGUCCAUAGUUACCAGCGGUUCGGCCGGGCACUCUAUGGAGACUGCCUCGGUUAACGAGGAGGAAGGUGGGGAUGACGUCAAGUCCUCAUGGCCCUUACGUCCAGGGCUACACACGUACUACAAUGGCCGGUACAGAGGGUUGCAAUGCCGCGAGGUGGAGCCAAUCCCUAAAGCCGGUCCCAGUUCGGAUUGGAG